CAAGAUUUUCUUUUUCAUGCGAUAUGAAAAAAAAUCUUGACACAAACUCUCUCCUACAACCGUGUAAUUUAAGGUUGAAGUUCAAACGCGAAUAGAAAUACCAGGCUGAAACGCUGACAUUCUUCUUUUUCUUCGUUCCUGUUUUGGAGUACAUUCCAAAGAAAGACCAACAUUGUCCGAUCCGCUAACUUUAAACAUGCCAGGCAUAUUUCGGAGUCCUGGCCAAAACGCGGAGUACAGACGACUCACAUAGUUCCAGACUCAAAAGACGAAAAUUCCCGUCUCCUGCCGUGCAUGUUAAAGAGGGCGGCCGCGACUUCCGCAACGUCAAAACACAAAGGUGUAUUCAAGGGGGUGGCAUUGGGUUUCCGUCGCCAUGGCAACCGCUAUGGCGUCACCCAUGCGCGGGAAAAGGUACCUGUCAGAGCGGCCAUGUUGCACAAUGGCGGCGGGGCGACGAUUUUUAAUCUCAUGAAUGUGUCGCGGGUUUGACGACUUGUUUUUGUUUUUUGGCGUACAUUUAGCAAACAAAGUUUGUUUACUUGCUGUGUGAAAGUGAACUUUCACCUCUCGUUUCCGCCCCUCCCACCCCGCUCGCUCAUUGGACCGGACGUAAUUCGUCCCUUUGUCGUCUUUUUGAUUUGUCCUCUACUGUGUCAAGGGUUCGAGGGGACCGACUCAAACUUACAGUUCACACCGCACUUGAAGAUAUCAAACUAAACUCAUAUCCCUUAGAGUUACAUAAUACUUUUGAGAACGUCCCAACAACGUCAACAGCAUACACACGAGCUACAUUUCUGAAGUAUUUAAUACUUUCGUCGAAUUUAGUGGUUUAAAACUCCAUGUUCUACAGACAAAAGUUGAAGUUUUGAGCCGGUGCCGGCCCGUUCGCGGGACAGGUAACUCAGUGUUGUGUACUUUAGCACACUGCGCCGCGCUGUGGAGUCUCUCGGUGAAGUCUUUUGAUCUCAGCUCCCUACCUGGUAAUCAUCCUGUCUUACAUACACCUGAAGACGAUCACUCUCCUUGUCGUGACGUCUCUCAGUGUCUUAAGACGGAGAGGAAACCUUAAGAAGACUGUGAGAAGACGCGGGUGGAGGGUUACGUACUACAGGACCCAACAUGCCUGCUGUGUGAAGAGUUGCUGUGUGUGUGCUUUUCUUGUGUGAGGCGAGACACCGCUAACGUACUACCACAGACCAACCGGACCGGUUCUCCGGGAUCAGACCUUAAGUGGUGCGCUGUUGUUGCCAACGUUGUGUCGGGCGUUUUCCCACGGUGUUCGGAGCCCAGGUGGGAUUAGAACCAUGGAUCACCGCGCCAGAAAAUGGUGGAACAGACUGCUCGGGAGAAAAUCGCGAGGCGACUCGAAAGAUCGGAAGGAUUCGCGUGGAAGCGGGGCAGGUCCGUACAAGGAGGACUCAGACGCGGAGAACAGAAAACCCGACGAGCUGCCAAACGGGAGAAAAAGCGGCAGCCAGACGUCCAAGAGCGCGCAGGUUCGCUCCAAGUGCAACCCGAAGCUCGCAGAGAGUUCUAACAGCGAACUGUCCAAGUCUCAGCAGUCCGGUCCAUGGAGACACCACCUCAGCGUGUCCCACUCCGGACGAUUUAAGGAGAAAAGAAAACAGCGAGGAACUGUCUCUGAUCGGCCCGAACUCUACAACGGACCGCCCAAACCUCUAGAGACGGACCUAUGAGGAUUGUACAUAACAGCAGAGGACAAAUUUGUUUCCAUUCUGUAUACAUGUAAUGUAAAUAAGGACUCAAGUGAUUGCAUUUGUUAUAAUGUGUGCUUGUGUGAGAGAGAAAAUGGAGACCACUGACGACAACUUUCCACGUCGUCGCCUGCCAAGAAACAAUUCCAAUAUCUUCUUGAUCAAAAGAAGUUUGUACAGACGAAUUGUUAGGAUGAAUUCUGUGACAAAAAUGCAACGUCGACAACUGCUUAUAAAAUCAAGAUAUCUAAAUGCUUAUAAAUUAGACAUGAUUGUACAUCGCCUAAGGCAACAACGAACUGAACAAGAAACCACGAAACUUCUUAAGGCUUAAGACCACUCUUGUCUUCAUGGACUAAAGACGCACCCCGCAAAAAAUACAACAAGGACGGUUUAUACAAUCCCUUUGUUUCCAUUCAUGUCAGCUAAGGAAAUUUCUGAGCUUGUUUAAAGUUCGGCCGCCAUCUUGAAUUGGAUGUCCCCCUUUGUCGGUCGGCUCUUUUAUGGACUUUUUAAAGCGACUUUAAUGCAAAUGGAACCCGCCCUUCAAUCUGGCUACAGCAGGGACAAGCUUUGUUGUCAAUAAUUCAAGAAACAUUUUUGGAAAUCUACUACGACUAGAAAUAUUGUUGCUGUUUAAUUAUGUGCGUCUUAAGUCAUACUCGAAACUUAAGAGUUUCAAGAGCAGGUCUCAACUACUUGAAAACCCACCAAACUGAAUGUCUAAGACGCUUCCAAGACGGCGCAACAACCUUGGAAUUUACGGACUCCUUAGCCGACGUCUUACGUGACACUUGCAUCAUACAGCCUGUUCUUGUCGACCGUAAGCCUCCAUGGAUACGUCUAUAAGAUUGGGCGACACAAGAUAAUCGUCUUUGAACAGCGAGUCAUAACUUAAGGAACACCAAAGGAAACAUGACAUUGGAACCCAUGUCUUACUUAGUCAAUGUCUUCGACAAGACACCUUCCUCAAACUUACAUCACAAACAUCUUCAAGAUUAGGAGAGCACAUCGUCUUUAAAACCUACACGGAAGGUAAACAAUCCUUAAACACAACCGUGCCUAAGAGCACGACUGACUGAGACUACACUAAAGAACAGAGGAGAGGACACAUCGAGACUACAAUGAACAGUGAGAAAAUGGAACACUAGAAAUGCCAGACAUCGCCCGCAAACCCGUCCCUAGCCACAGCGCUGACACGGUAGGACGGACAUGUUAUUUAUGUGUUUAUGGUCAGACUAUUUGCCAAGCACUAUCUGUUGCUGAGGUCGGCAUCCGAGCUAGAUCUAAAACAACACAACAUUGCGGCCGACAUUUGAGCUUAUCUGUAUGUACUCUGAUUCAAUAUUGUGCAUAGUACGUUGAGGGCACAAACUGUAGGAAACUUUAGAGAGUUAGUGGAUUAUUUUGUGGAGGGCCCAUUUAAAGUAAAACUUAAACUAUUUGCCAACCACUAUCUGUUUCUGUUUUUUGAGGUUGGCUCCAAAAGAACACAAUAUUGUGGUCAACAUUCGAGAUACCUGUAUCAGUGCAUGUUCCAAUAUUGUGCAUAGCACUCUGUAGGCAUAAACUGUAAUAAACCUUAGAAAGUUAGUAGAUUAUUUUGUAUGGGGUCCUUUUAAAGUACCCGCAUGCAACCCUAGUACUCACACACCUGUAUGUGAGAACAGUACCUCUACCCGUACCUCCUUACUCUUACAUCCGGUUCAAAACACUCAAAAACGCAGCCAUGUUUACAACUCAAUUUUUCCAAAUAACCCGCAGCAAAAAAAAUCAGCGAUUUAAACAAGACCGAUCGGUUUGUUUUGGGCGCUAAUUAUGCCCCGAUUUGCUGAUUAGAUAAGGAAAAACGACGGCGGUGUCUCGGGAAGAGGUAUUAGGAGUAAACCGAGAGGUCUGGGCGGUGGGAACGCUGGAGGGUUGAUUGUUGUUAGCUAGUCAGCCGUGGUGGGGCAACCUUGUCGCACAAAGGUACCUUUCAUACAGUAGAAACAACAGGGCGUGUGAGAUGGAGACAACGGGGACACUCUCUCUGUCUUUAGUAAUCUCGUACACGUCUUAAGUAUCCACCAGACUUCUUUAAUGUCUUAAGUCUCCUCUAGGUCUCCUUCAGUGGCCAAUUAAUAAGUAGAAAUUGCCCCAAUAGGUUGAAUGAUUCAUACAGCAAAAACAACAGGGCGUGUGGGACGGAGACAACUGGUCUCUCUGUCUGCCUUCGGUAAUCUCUUACACGUCUUAAAGUAAGUGUCCACCAGACGUCUUUAACGUCUUAGGACUCCCCUAGACCCUCUUGAGUUGCCAAAUAAUAAGUAGAAAUUGCCCAAAUAGGCUGAAUGAUUUGCAAGAGGAGUUGGUUGGCCCAGGAUUGUUCCCUAAGACCUGUUGAUUACUUUGGCAAAUUAGAUAUUUGCCUCAUCAGGCCAAUUUCUGUUAUUUUAAGCCACUUAGAGAACCAACGCAUUCUGGAGCUUAACACAAAAAUGGUCAGCAUGUCUUAAAUUCACAAACUCAAACUUAAAAUGUCUAGUUGUCAAAUCAUUUUAUCCUAUUGGCCCUAAAACGGCUACUUCAGAAUGUUUCCAAAUUAUAAAUGUAUACGUCAUAUGUUCGCAUUUAUUUGGGGUUGACACAGCAAAAAAGGAUACUCAGUUGAAACUACAAUACUACAAAAAUAAGUCAUUGUUUACAAACGUGUGUGUAAAGAUAUCCUUAGAUUUACAACUCAAAGGGAUCUCAAAUUUGCGUGUGAUACGGAUAAUAUGAACAGACUCUUUACAAUUAAAGUGUGGUGGCCAAUACGUCAUACGUUUGUAUUAGAUGGGGUUGACACAGCAAAAAAGGAUUCGUAAACAAGAAUAAAGUAUUGUCUAUCCUCCAAUUUUCACGCUGAAAGAACUCUCAAAAUUCCGUGUGACACAGAUGAUAUAUAUAUGAAAAGUCUCUUUACAAUUAAAGAUUCUUACGUCAUGUUCCUUUGUGAGAAAGCAACCACUAAGAAACGUUUCCUUUAUCAGAAAGACUUUUCGUCAACCACUAAGAAAACAACACGCCAUUUUCAGCCAGCCCGACUGUUUUGGGUCAGGCCUGUCCAGUCUUACCGCCCUUAUUAUUUAGAUUUAUGUCCUUCAGACAACACGCCGUUUACAGAGCCGAUUUUACAAUGGCUGGAGAGGAUCUAGAACCCACGGAUUACCCCAAAUACCUCUUCUUUAGAACCGCCGAUAUUGGAGGGUUUUAGGGGGAAAAUUACCGACCAGCUCUGGCUAUUAUGGUGGAAACAUUUGUGUAAUGACUGGAUUGUAGUUGGGGCAAUAAGGCUGCUCUGUUAUCACGUUAUGACCUAUACUUGUUGAAACACGCCCCCCUCCCCCCAACAACCACCUGUUAACUGUCCGCCAUGAUGGAUUUCAAGGUCGCCUUUAUGACCUCCAAAGUUGCUCAAAACGCCGUUAUUUCUGCUCGGAAACAAAAUAUUUAGAACAUAUGUUUUAUUGAUUGUUCAUUGUUUAAGCCUAGUAUUGUUCUUCGAUCCAGGUGCUACAAAAAUCUCAAAUUGAAGGAAACAAGAGAAUGAGCUGUAAUAGUAAAGACUGAUCGAGAACAAACACUACAAAUUCUAUCACACACGCUCUGUAUACUGCAUAAUAAUUCUUGCCUAAAAUCAUGUUAACUAAAGAAAAGAAGAAAUGUAAACUGAAAAGCAAAUGAAAAACAAACCAUAUAAAAACGUUUAUGUCAGACAUGUUUGACCCCUGACCCAAAAUGGCGGCGCCAGAAGCCUUAACAAUGCGCCAUUCAUGUCUGGCCGUGGACGUGAACAAACUCCCUUUCAUACACAUUCCACCGCCACUGGCUGGAAUUUACAGCAAAAUCGUCUGAGAAUAGUCAACAUUAUGCGGGAAUUUCACCCAUUUCCGUGCUCUUCAAUGUAUCCUUGUUCUGGCCUAGAAAUAUAGGACCAAAGCAGAAAGCAUUUUUUUUUUGAGAACUGAAAACUUCUUAAAGCAUCUAGGAAACAAAAAAGGCACACUGAUAGAAGUCCUUAUUAAUUUCCAGAUUAUGCUAGAUUUUGGCUCAGUUUUUAUUGAAUGUGUCACUGAUCCUGAAUUAUCAUCAUGACCACAGUGGGUACAAUUGUUCCUUAUUUCCGUUUAUGUUUCUAUGACUGAAAUUGCAUUUUUUUGGGUUUAAUUUAUGUCGGAAACAAAGAAGAACUAGGGGCUAAAUGAAGUUUUUAUUUCUAUGUUAGGCAAUAAUUUUUGCCAAUUUGAUGAAUUAAAGACUAGUGAGUUGGAAAACUUCUAACGUCCAAUAAAAAAAGGCAAACAGAAAAAAUACUAUUGUUGACGUCAGUAAUAUGAGAUGAUUAUCAGUGCCAAGCUCAUUACAUUGUUUAUAUCGGCAGAGAUGUAAAUGUGGAAAGAUUCGGUUGUUAAUUGGUUAAUGAUUUGAAUCUAUGUCUUUGUUUCUCGCAAAAUCAUGAAAUAUGUGGUAAUGCAAAACGUACUGCGCCUUGUAACAAUAUGUAUUGAUGUACCACCAUCUGUGUGCUCACAACUGGUGAGAGCUAAUUGCAAGUCAGACAUUUUGUGAAUUUUCUAUGCAUAUGGUAAAAUGUAACACUUGUUCACUUUCUUCCGCCUAGUGACCCAUAUCCGUUGUUGUUUUUAAAAGGGUACUUAGGGUAUUAAGUUGACGAACGGCGGUCUCAAGUUGCAAUAUUUUCAAAAUAUUGCAGUUUUAAACCACCGUCCGCCGACCAUACAAUACCCUGUUCUUAAAAACAAUGGAAAACCCGUGAAAAAAGUAAACAAGCGUUACAUAUCGAGUCACAAGAGAGAGAAAAUAGGAAUAUAGAUCAAGUGUCACAAAAGUUGAACUCGGUAAAUAAGAACCUUUGAGACCAUAGGAAUCUGUACCAUGGUCAUGAUCCAUGAUCUAAGGUAUGAUCUAUUCUCACGUUGUUGACCAACAUUCUUGUGCUUGUUAAUGUUUUUAAGAUACCGAAACUAUUUGUCUUCAAAUGUUGGUUUCAAGAAACCCUUGUCUGAUUGUAAGCUGAAGAUAUCAUGUCAUAAGUUUGUAUAUGUUAAUAAGCGUUCUGUACUUUGAGAGCUACGCAGAACUAUGGAUUGUAUAUAUGAUUCUUAAUGUUGUUGAUUUUAGCGACUGUUCAAAUUGUUGUUUAUAUAGAAGCUUUUUUUUGUACAAAUUUGAUCAAAUAAAAUAGAUUUUAUCGAUGCCCCGAGGGGCGAUUUUCAA